rnacentral:tmRNA from 1 species
GGGCGUGUAGUGGAUUCGACGUGGGAGGUUGACUGUACAUUGCAAGCCGCGGCGCCCGACCGCGAUAACAAUGGGCAAGCACAAUAAGUGCCAAUAACAAUCAACCUGCUAUGGCCCUCGCCGCGUAAGUAGGCGGUGGUUAUAGUAGCUAGCCCAGAAGUGGUUAGCCGUCUGCCCUUCUCGUCUCCGUCCGGGAAGAUUGGUAGGCGACACCUAAGGCGGAGUGCGAUCUGUUGAUGCCGAUAAGGCAGGUCAAAGAGACAUCGGCUAGUCGAUAGUCUACCGUGUCGUCUCGGGCUACUAUCGGCGAAUGCAAAAAGACGACUAAGCUUGUAGAUAUGUGCAUUCGAAUCUUGCGGACGCCGGUUCGAUUCCGGCCACGUCCACUU